ensembl:lncRNA
UUAAUACUACUACUGCACUUUGAUCUUGAUAAAAGCCCCCACCUCCAAUACAAAAAUGUUAUUUACUUCCGUCACUGAAAGACAAAGGUUUUGCUCUGAAUGAGCCGUCAGAACUAAAGUGGUUCAGCAACUUUUGAGUGUUUACGUCUUUUGCCUUUGUUCAGUGAUGACGCAUCACCUCAGAGAUGCUAAACAUGUGGAUCUAUUUUGUUGAAAUGUGUUCCGUGACGCCAGUUUGUAAGGUUUGUUUUUGGAGAAAUGGUACCUGACUAUAGUUCAAGGAUUAAAACCGGUAUUAAAUCCGAUGUGACGCUGCUCCCUCUCAGCAUAUAAAACCCUGUCGAGCUCAUCCAGGCUCUUCAGUGGACUCGUACACUAAAACAGACCAUGGACGCUUGUGAGUAUCGCCGUUCCUUCCGCAGUACUGAACUAUUUCAAUGAUAUGCUUUUCUUAUAAAACCACAGCAAGAGUCUCUGAUUGAGCGAGGUGAGCUGUAAAUGUUGAUUUUGUUUUUUCUCCUUUUCAGUGAUUUGUGUUGCUGCUGUCGGGGCAGGAGCAGUUGUCGGCGGAGGAGCCGGUAAGACCUCGUACAGCACCGCCUUUAUGGAAUAACAGUGUUUACUCUUUUUGUCUUACAUUUUUACAUGCUAAACAUGAAUUAUUCAUUUAUAAUUGGCUUGACAAAGCAGCACACUAUUAUGAACAUCAUAAAAGGUGUUUUUUAUGUGCAGUGGCGGCUGCUGUGGCUGCGGCUGCGGGUUAGAGAAAGUGUGCUGGGAAGCACAAGGUUGGUGGUUCGAGUCCAGGCUGCCCCAUGUUCCAUGUCGAAGUGUCCCUGAGCAAGACACCUAACCCCUAAUUGCUCCCUGGGCAAAAAUGUGAAAAAGCCAUGGGUUUAAAGUGUAAUGUUAGUCGCUUUGGAUGAAAGCCUCUGCUAAAUGACAUGUAAUACUACACUAUUUUUUUAAUAUUUUAUUUACAUAUUUAUAUUUUAUAUUACAUCAUUUUUUAAGUAUAAAUACUUCAUAACGAUCUUGCUAAAAGCCACCACUACAACGCAAAAAAUAUAUUUACUUUUGUGACUGAUAGAUAAAAGUUGUCUCUGAAUAUUUAAAGUUUAAAUGACUAAAUAAAAAAAAUGGUAAUUUGGAACACGAAAUAGUUUAUUAUUCCUACAGUCAACAAUUAGAAUAAAAAUCAAGAACAAACAAAUUAGUUAAUGAUGGUAAAAAUAAAUAUUCCUGACAUCAGAGGGAGACGACAUAGAUAUAAAGACAAUUUGGUCUUUUAACUUUCUUACCUAUUCACGCACAAAAAAGAAAUAAACGUGGAAACACUUCGAAUUAAAUAAUUACAGAAGACCGAAGCCGUAUGUUCAUCAGGUCAAACAGAUUUAUUGAAACAAACAUUUCAGUUUUCUGAGACGACAAAGGUGCUGCCGGAGAAAUGAACUGAUGUCAUUUUUCUAUGUUUUCCUAAUUGGCAGAACUUGAAAAAUGUUUCCAAGAGUAGCCACGAAAACCAGCCACGAAGAUCGGAGCUUCUCAGGAAUCAGGAAAAUAUGUAAUACACACAAGGAAUUUGACUUGGCGAGCAUGUCUUUGGACUGUGGGAGGAAGCCGGAGAACCCGGAGAGAACCCACGCA